GACGAACGCUGGCGGCGUGCUUAACACAUGCAAGUCGAACGGAGUACCCUUGAUUGAGGUUUCGGCCAAAUGAUAGGAAUACUUAGUGGCGGACUGGUGAGUAACGCGUGAGGAACCUGCCUUUCAGUGGGGGACAACAGUUGGAAACGACUGCUAAUACCGCAUAAUGUGCAGAGGGGACAUCCCUUUUGCACCAAAGAUUUAUCGCUGAAAGAUGGCCUCGCGUCUGAUUAGCUAGUUGGUGGGGUAACGGCCCACCAAGGCGACGAUCAGUAGCCGGACUGAGAGGUUGACCGGCCACAUUGGGACUGAGAUACGGCCCAGACUCCUACGGGAGGCAGCAGUGGGGAAUAUUGGGCAAUGGACGCAAGUCUGACCCAGCAACGCCGCGUGAAGGAAGAAGGCCUUCGGGUUGUAAACUUCUUUGACGAGGGAAGAAAGAAAUGACGGUACCUCGAAAACAAGCCACGGCUAACUACGUGCCAGCAGCCGCCGUAA
rnacentral:rRNA from 1 species